UACGUAGGGUGCAAGCGUUAAUCGGAAUUACUGGGCGUAAAGCGUGCGCAGGCGGUUUUGUAAGUCUGUCGUGAAAUCCCCGGGCUCAACCUGGGAAUUGCGAUGGAGACUGCAAGGCUAGAAUCUGGCAGAGGGGGGUAGAAUUCCACGUGUAGCAGUGAAAUGCGUAGAUAUCAGGAGGAACACCGAUGGCGAAGGCAGGUCUCUGGGCUGAUACUGACGCUCAUGCACGAAAGCGUGGGGAGCAAACAGG
rnacentral:rRNA from 1 species